GAUGAACGCUGGCGGCGUGCCUAAUACAUGCCAGUCGAGCGAACGGACGAGAAGCUUGCUUUUCUGAUGUUAGCGGCGGACGGGUGGGUAACACGUGGAUAACCUACCUAUAAGACUGGGAUAACUUCGGGAAACCGGAGCUAAUACCGGAUAAUAUUUUGAACCGCAUGGUUCAAAAGUGAAAGACGGUCUUGCUGUCACUUAUAGAUGGAUCCGCGCUGCAUUAGCUAGUUGGUAAGGUAACGGCUUACCAAGGCAACGAUGCAUAGCCGACCUGAGAGGGUGAUCGGCCACACUGGAACUGAGACACGGUCCAGACUCCUACGGGAGGCAGCAGUAGGGAAUCUUCCGCAAUGGGCGAAAGCCUGACGGAGCAACGCCGCGUGAGUGAUGAAGGUCUUCGGGUCGUAAAACUCUGUUAUUAGGGAAGAACAUAUGUGUAAGUAACUGUGCACAUCUUGACGGUACCUAAUCAGAAAGCCACGGCUAACUACGUG
rnacentral:rRNA from 1 species